rnacentral:rRNA from 1 species
UACGGGGGGGGCAAGCGUUGUUCGGAAUUACUGGGCGUAAAGGGCUCGUAGGCGGCCAACUAAGUCAACCGUGAAAUCCCUCGGCUUAACCGGGGAACUGCGCUUGAUACUGGAUGGCUUGAGAUUGGGAGAGGGAUGCGGAAUUCCAGGUGUAGCGGUGAAAUGCGUAGAUAUCUGGAGGAACACCGGUGGCGAAGGCGGCAUCCUGGACCAACACUGACGCUGAGGAGCGAAAGCCAGGGGAGCAAACGGG